GAGUCCUUCUUCACCUUUGCCUUGGAAAAACCCGUUUCUCUCUUUUAUUGUCUCUUACCUAUUUCUCAACCUUCUAUUUCCAAAAGCCCCACGGAGCCCUGCCACAUGCUGCAAACCCUCUCUUCCAGCUACUGCUGCUCUCUCUAAUCCAGUUCCACUCUUCCCUGCUUCCAUGUUCUUUUUUUCUUAAAGGGAGGAUGACUCUUCAGGACCGGCCCCCACCCCACCCCCCCUCGGGAACAGGCCUGCUCCACUGGAUCCGACACAGUAAGUGUUUCUCCUUUCUUAGCUCCAGCCGUCCAACCCCAGGAGUGAACGAACAUCCCGAGACUCGGAAUUCCUUCUCUUCCUCUCAUACACCUGAGUCUCCAGCCAUCUCUUUGUUCUGAGUGAUCUUAUGGGAAAAAAAAAAAAAAAAAAGCCUAUUUAUUAUUUUGCAUCAAGCUCCGAGAAGGUACGGACACGCAUGCUUCCAGGUGAGUCUGAAAUCUGUGAUUUGGGGUGCUUCGGAAAACCCAAGCCGAGCGCCUGUACCAGGAGGAUCUCUGGACAGUUAAAGAGAAGAUUAUGGGCCGUGGAAAGAAGCCACACUCACUGGAGGUUGAUUAUCCACUUCUUCCAAAGCUAAAAUAGGAGGACCUACUUCAUUUUACCCAAAUCCCAGGCCAGUUCUACGUUUGGGGGUGGGGGGCAGUUUCCCACGGUCUCAGGCAAUAAUUGUCACCGAUAAUGGGAAUUGGGGUGGUAAGGUGGGUGCCGAGCAGUUAAGUACCAAGAUUACAGUUCUUUCUAGAUUUCACGGCGAUUUGCCCAACUAGAGGAAUGGGGUGGGGCGGGGGAGGGGGUGCAGUCCUGGCCUCUCAGGGCUGGGCCGCAGGGUACGACUAUAACAAGAAAUUUCAGGACCCGACUCCAUUCUUCGGUUCUUGUGUCCACGUUGGUCUUAUUGGGAAGCCGUGUGGGGCACAGGUCCCGGGGCAGUUGGGGAACAGGAGAGCAGUCAUCGGGUGAACUUACUCUAAAACCAGCACAGGAACAAUUUGCUUCUCUGACCCAACCCUACAACUGCAGGUGGCCAAGGAGAAAGCACUGGGCCAUCGAGUUGACAAAGGCAUGGUGGGUAGAGAAUCUUGAACUCUAGGGAUGGGGUCCAGGCUGGGUCUAGGCUCCUGAUGCAGGUUCUAGGCUCAUCUUCCCUUGUCUCUGCCUUGCCUUGCGGCAGGUCUGUAGGGCAAGGGUCAAUGAUACCUCCUGUUUGUAUGGCCUUGCACAGCUAAAGUGCUUUGACAGACACUGUCCUCUCUGGGGGAUCCACUGUAGAGGCUAAAAACCCUACACGAGGGUGAGAGUCUGCACCCUCCAAGUGAGGCCUUGAAGAAUCUGGUGGACCGUACAUGUUGGGAGGGUAAGGGUGGCGUCGUGAGGGUCUGAAAGGAGACCAAUGGGGCCCUUUGCUGUCCGAGUUGGACUGAAAUCCAAGGAGAAAGCAAAGGAUCCUUCCAUUCCCCAGACUAUUUCCUCCCACCAUCUUCUGCUAUCACUUCUCAGAGCCAGCCGGGCCAGUCUCUGGUUUCCCUGGCUGUGAAAUGGGCCACAGGCAGUGCAGGAUUAUAAGGUCCAAAUAAUGCACAGGCAGGGUGCGUGUCUCUCUCGUGAUUGAGAAUCGUGAGUAUUUAUGAAGAACGCUGAGUGGGGGAGGAUGGGCCCUCCUUCUUCCCCUUGGUACCCAGCUCCCUGCCCCCAGCACCACCCGUGUUCACCCUGACCAAGGACAGCCAGGCUCUGCUUCAGCAAGAGCUGCGACAGCCUAGCCCUUGUUCCAGAGCCCUAUGCCCAGGGGGCUGGAUCUUGGGGGAGGAGCCACAACCUAAGCUAGGGCCUCCCUGUAUCGGGUCAGGACAAGCCCCAGGAAGAAAGUAUUCCAAACAACAGGGUGGAUCUGCCCAAACCCACCCAGUCUGUACGUUGGUGCUGAGAACAGCCUUUUAUGGGGCUUAUACUGAGCCACAGGCGUGCCCGGACACAGCAAGGAAGAGGCCAGAGCAGCAACUAAGCAGCAACUGGAGCAUGGGCAUUGCUUUUAAGAGGACAGAAAGCCUCUGAGGCUUCCAUCCUCCCUGUCUAGGUCAGCUUCUGCGAGCCAGGCCACCGCCUCCCGCCGCACAUGCCCCAACGCCAUGCCCAGAGAAUAUGGGAUUGUUCCCAUGAUUUGGCCCAGGAUGUGGAGUCACCGGAAAGUAGACAUCCUAGAUAAGUCCGAAGGGGUGAGACCAAGGAGUCUCCCCCUGCUUUGCCCACUCCUGCCCUCAGGAAUGGGCCUGGCUCCCCACCCCACCCCACCCCACUGCCACCCAGGCAUCCUGGUCCCUCCACAGCUCCGCACCCACCUCCGCUGGGUUUCCUACUGGCAGACGGGCCUACAGAGUACAGUUCAUGCUCUUUGGAUGCUGCAUUCUGGAAAGAAUGCGUCCCAUCCCCUUGGUAAACAAGUUCCUUAGAGAUGGAUUUUUCUCAAGCAAUUUCAGAGCACCUGCACCCCCCAGCCAGGACCAACCAGAUGGAGCUCAGGUCUGGCGCACACAGGGGACAUAGACGAGGGAGACGAUAACCAGCAUCCCAACCGGGGAAAUGCAGAGAAGGUUCUCCCGUGGACUGCCCUGCGGAUUUCAGUGGAGUGAAGUUCAGGAGGCGUGGACCUGACACCGCAGCGGCCGCAGCAGCAGCAAGAGUAGCUCUGACUGAGAAGAGGAAAGGCCCAGGGAGGGAUGUGGGUGCGGAAAGGAGACAUCUGGAGCGCAUCUCCCCCUGCAGAGGGGCUGGGGGCUGGGCGGUGGGCAGAUUGCAAAAGACACCCCAGAUGGGAGCCGUGGAUUCCUUCUUGUCUCAAAGUGAUGCGAUGGAAAUGUGUGUGUGGUUUUUUUUUUCUGUAACUUCUACAAAUUAAAAGUUGUCUGUGUGCUGGAAAGCCUGCCUCUGUGAUUCAUGCUGUGGGAUGAGGACUCCCUGGCCUUCUAAGUCACCUCCCCUUUGGGCUAAAAUGGACACAGGCCCCCCUCUCUCUCCUGGGGUUCUCCAGGCAGGUGGCUGGAGCCCUAGUCGCAAGCCAUAGGGGGCCCCUGUUGCCCUCAGGCUCUGGAGGCGCCCGCAGGACCUGCAGCACUGGGUAAAAAACCCGAUUAAGAUUUCUUUAAACCCAUUUAUAUUGUAAUAAAAUAAAUGUAAAUAAGA